GAUUUGCGUGAGGGGCAGAAACGGCAUCUUUUUGUAACAAACAACAAGAAGUCGUUAAACGAAAAUUUUCUAAAACAAAAGAUAUAGUGGAUGACCCGACCCUAU
rnacentral:misc_RNA from 1 species